UACGUAGGGUGCGAGCGUUGUCCGGAAUUAUUGGGCGUAAAGAGCUCGUAGGCGGCUUGUCGCGUCGGAUGUGAAAGCCCGGGGCUUAACCCCGGGUCUGCAUUCGAUACGGGCAGGCUAGAGUUCGGUAGGGGAGAUCGGAAUUCCUGGUGUAGCGGUGAAAUGCGCAGAUAUCAGGAGGAACACCGGUGGCGAAGGCGGAUCUCUGGGCAGUAACUGACGCUGAGGAGCGAAAGCGUGGGGAGCGAACAGG
rnacentral:rRNA from 1 species